rnacentral:rRNA from 1 species
UACGAAGGGGGCUAGCGUUGCUCGGAAUCACUGGGCGUAAAGCGCACGUAGGCGGCUUUCUAAGUCAGGGGUGAAAUCCUGGAGCUCAACUCCAGAACUGCCUUUGAUACUGGAGAGCUUGAGUCCGGAAGAGGUGAGUGGAACUCCGAGUGUAGAGGUGAAAUGCGUAGAUAUCUGGAGGAACACCGGUGGCGAAGGCGGCUCACUGGCCCGGUACUGACGCUGAGGUGCGAAAGCGUGGGGAGCAAACAGG